GACGAACGCUGGCGGCGUGCUUAACACAUGCAAGUCGAACGGAAAGGCCCUGCUUUUGUGGGGUGCUCGAGUGGCGAACGGGUGAGUAACACGUGAGUAACCUGCCCUUGACUUUGGGAUAACUUCAGGAAACUGGGGCUAAUACCGGAUAGGAGCUCCUGCUGCAUGGUGGGGGUUGGAAAGUUUCGGCGGUUGGGGAUGGACUCGCGGCUUAUCAGCUUGUUGGUGGGGUAGUGGCUUACCAAGGCUUUGACGGGUAGCCGGCCUGAGAGGGUGACCGGCCACAUUGGGACUGAGAUACGGCCCAGACUCCUACGGGAGGCAGAAGUGGAGAAUAUUGCACAAUGGGCGGAGGCCUGAUGCAGCAACGCCGCGUGCGGGAUGACGGCCUUCGGGUUGUAAACCGCUUUCGCCUGUGACGAAGCGUGAGUGACGGUAAUGGGUAAAGAAGCACCGGCUAACUACGUG
rnacentral:rRNA from 1 species